GCGAUACAUCAGUGGACAACUCUCAAACGCCAACCCUUGUUAUAGUGGCGGGGACUGUAGCAGCACUCCUCAUCCUCGUCCUCAUCGUUGAGAUCAUUCAUUUCAUCAUGAAGCUAAACACAAACCCAGAUCAAAGACAUUCGGAAUCAAAAAUUUUCAGGAUAUUCAAGAGAGAGUCCAGGUGAGAGGACAACAUAACCAUGCCUCACUACCAGUCCCAGAGUCUCGUCAUGUCUAUACCACCGUGGGAGUGGACUUGCCUAAAUCUGAUGUGCAAACUGAAGAUCUCUAAUACGUCGUCGGGAACAUUAUGGAACUGUGCCCAUGGUACAUGCACACAAGUACCGACCAAGCAGGAACUUCCGUCUCUUACUGUGUUCGGCGUCUGAAGACAGUUUGUCACCAAGACCGAUUUGGACCGAAUGUUUUUGGAAAAUUCAUUUUGGACCUACAAAGAAAGAUGUGUAGUGUGGAAUAGUAGGGAAGAGAUUUAUGAAGAUAAUUGUAACUGAUGUUUGUUAUUGACUGCUUCACAUUGUGAUCAUCAUGUCGCCUUCUACACACACAUCACUGUCUGGCUGCUUUUCAGGCCCAAUUCUUUCCUUUCGAUCUCAAGGUGUGAGCACAAGCUUGAAUGUUACAUCUAUUUCUGUGUUUAAAGACAAAAUAUUAUGAUGUCAACUUCUUCUUUAUUGCAUGCACAACGUUUCUGG